GAAAUGCGAUAAGUAAUGUGAAUUGCAUAAUUCAGUGAAUCAUCGAAUCUUUGAACGCACAUUGCGCCCGCCAGUAUUCUGGCGGGCAUGCCUGUUCGAGCGUCAUUUCAACCAUCAAGCCCCCGGCUUGUGUUGGGGACCUGCGGCUGCCCGCAGGCCCUGAAAAACAGUGGCGGGCUCGCUGUCACACCGAGCGUAGUAGCAUACAUUCUCGCUCAGGGCGUGCUGCGGGUUCCGGCCGUUAAACGACCUUCAUAACCCAAGGUUGACCUCGGAUCAGGUAGGAAGACCCGCUGAACUUAAGC
rnacentral:misc_RNA from 1 species